CGAAAGACGACGUGAUAAAAACUCUAUUUGUAAUGAAGUGUUUUUAUUCCUAGGCUCACGAAUACCCUUUUCCAUCUAGGUACAAAUAUUCAUGUUGUUUUCAAUAAAAGAUCAGAGUUCCAAUGUCUCCCGCAUUGAACAUAUUUUAUCUAUCCAAGAUACCAGGGCAGAAGCUAAAAAAAAACACUUUUUUUCUUUUUUGUAUAUAUAUCUCGAGAGAAACAAAAGCUCCCGAACAAAUACAAUGGGAUUUGCAUUAUAAUUUAUAUUUCCAAGGGGCAUAAUUGGUUAAAAAUAUUUGAUCAGGAUUUAUACUCGCAUGUGUGAAAGACAUGGCUGCAUGAAAAUCUGGCAAGAAUUUCACACAUGACAGCGCUAACAAGACCGGACGGAUGGACGCCCGGUAUUUCCAUAUCCCCUCGCGGCAAUGAGUUAAGAGAUGUAAUCAAAAAC
rnacentral:lncRNA from 1 species